UGUGACCGCGCCAGUAAACGCGUAGCCGAGGACUUUUCCUGGUAAGAGGCUUUCCAGGAAACCUGUGCCAGUCCCGUGGAAUGGCUAUAGUGCAGUUUGAGAUGAAGGCCAUGUCAGGGUUUCAAUAACGUGACGUGUUGGCUUGCUCACCUCUGUGGCUUUGAUCUGAUGGAGCUCCUGUUCAGCUGCAGUGAGGGGACCAGGGCUGGAGGAAGAGGACAUGUGGCGAAGGUAACCCUGAAAACACACAUCCUCCUGUAGAGAAGAGGAAGAGCAGAUAAACCAGCACAUUUUCUCUCAACCUGG